UUAAUGGGUAUAAGCCUGGGCUCGCCUCUGUUGGCCAUCUCGGUGGCCUAUGGCAGCCCACAUAUGGCAGCCUCUGGCCAUCUCCCUUGGAGAUGGCUUCGGCUGGCCGAGGCGCCCGAGCGGCGCCGGCGUCGGUGAGCUAUGAGCUAUGGGGCCCGGGUAGCGGCUACUGCGCAUGCGCACUGCACACCAUCCCCCACUCGCAACGCAGCGCAGCGGUUCCGGACUACGGCGUCGACGAUUACGAAUUUAGUGAGAAACGGUUGAUUAUUCUUCUACUUCAAUAAAGUACAACGAUCCAGAAGACGUUGUACCUGCCGAGUAACGGAGUCAACCGCAGGCUGCCUGCCAGUCGGCGACGGAUCAGCUGCACGGGACACCGCUGCACGAAAUGAACGAUGGCGAGUGGUGACGACCCGCCACCCGGACCGUCAAAGGGAAAGCGACCAUCGUUGUUCCAACGGCGACAGACGAACUUUGGGCUGCUCUAGAGGCGCAGGCGCUCGUCGAGUGUUACAUGGCCUUAUGUGCAGCUGUCUGGGUCAAUCGACCUCCUCUAAUUCGGCGUCAGCGCCCGUGCCGAGCUGCUGGAUG